UGUCUCUGGGAAUGAGAAGAAGAUUAAAGCAAUGGAAGACAGAGGAAAGGAACAAAAUAAGUGUCAUAUUAAUAUUAAUGUUGUCACAUCUAAGUAACCACUGGUUGAUUUCUGUGUUGUGCUCUCUCGUGUAGGAAGUGAAGACGCAGACCUGUAGAUGAAUCAAACCUUCAGGUUUCUCUGGUACUAAUGAAGUAUUGACCACUGAUCAGCUCUCGAGGCUGCAGGCCAUAAACUGAUUGACAGAUUCAUCCUAACUGUGAUUAUUCAAACAUCUCUCUGUUGACUAGUGACCGGUUGACGGGUUUACCCUUGUUUGGUGCAAAAGGUCAUGACAAGUGGUUCGGUUACUCCGGAAACCUGGCUCCUGUCCACCAAUCAGGGGCGGCAGUUCCAGCCCUCCCAGGAUGUUCGUUUCAUCCCAGAAAACAGCCCUGGGAGCAGUUAGGAGAAGAUAAACAUCAGAGUGGUGCAGUUCAUCCUGCAUUCAGCUAUGUGAAGAUAUUUCUCUGAGGUUCUUGAUGGGAGCUGCACAAAACAUUCAGACAUCUGUCAGUUCACUGACAUUCAGAUCAAGAAUCCUGGUGUAGCUGGUGGCUGAUUUGAGGCGGCCAGCUGAGAGGCAGACUCCCUCUGUCGUCAUGACGACGGGAGGCGAGGACAAUGGCAUCCUGUGUGUUCACCCUGGCUGGGCGGCGACGGUGAUGACGACACGAUGGCGAGAGACAAAACAGCUGAGAGUUGUCCUGAGCGUGACGCGGCAAAUAAACUGUCAUCAGAGGAGGAGAAGCCAUUUUUUUAAUUCUGGUGUUUCUUUGUGAUUUGAGCAAAUAAGACUAAUUCAAAAUAAAAAAUAGAAUAAAUAAAUGAUGUUCUUGCAUUGACUUGUCAGCUGCUUUCUGUCGCCGCCGGAGGGAGAUUCGGUCGUUUGCUGCACUGACUGUAACAUGUUGUGUUGAGUCUGAACUGUACAAACAAUGGCAGCUGUG